rnacentral:tRNA from 1 species
GUGGCAGUAGUUCAGUAGUAGAACUCCCGCUUCGUACGCGGGAAGACCUGUGUUCGAUUCCCAGCUGCUUUC